rnacentral:rRNA from 1 species
GUACGGGAGGCAGCAGUGGGGAAUAUUGGACAAUGGGCGCAAGCCUGAUCCAGCAAUGCCGCGUGUGUGAAGAAGGCCUUCGGGUUGUAAAGCACUUUUAUCAGGAACGAAAUACCACGGGUUAAUAACCUAUGGGGCUGACGGUACCUGAGGAAUAAGCACCGGCUAACUUCGUGCCAGCAGCCGCGGUAAUACGAAGGGUGCAAGCGUUAAUCGGAAUUACUGGGCGUAAAGGGUGCGUAGGCGGUUCGUUAAGUCUGUCGUGAAAUCCCCGGGCUCAACCUGGGAAUGGCGAUGGAUACUGGCGAGCUAGAGUGUGUCAGAGGAUGGUGGAAUUCCCGGUGUAGCGGUGAAAUGCGUAGAGAUCGGGAGGAACAUCAGUGGCGAAGGCGGCCAUCUGGGACAACACUGACGCUGAAGCACGAAAGCGUGGGGAGCAAACAGGAUUAGAUACCCUGGU